UAAAAAGGAACCUAGGUAAAAAGCGCCGUGUCCUGCAGUAAUACCUGAGUGACCGGCUUCCUGCCGG
rnacentral:sRNA from 1 species